rnacentral:lncRNA from 1 species
CAACUCACGCAGGGCAUAUGUAUAUAUACACAGCCCAACGCACACGGCCACACGUACAAAUCAUAAACGGACUUGUAUUACACCUUUUUUUUCCGCAAGAUUUGUAUUACACCUUGACUCACGUAGACAAUAAACUACUAGGACACGGCUAACCAAUCCUAACCAGACUACUACUCCGAGCCCUACACGUACUACAGAAACUAGACCAACUAGUACAUAGUACUUCUAUACCUGAUCGCUAAUCAACUUAGCUAACACUAAUAAACCAUCUUUAACAAGAUUAUCUAACA